rnacentral:tRNA from 1 species
AACCCUGUGGCUCAGUUGGUAGAGCAUGGUGUUUGCAACGCCAGCAUGGUGUGUGCAACGCCAGGGUUG